CCAGACUCCUACGGGAGGCAGCAGUGGGGGAUAUUGCACAAUGGGGGGAACCCUGAUGCAGCGACGCCGCGUGGGUGAAGGAGCGUUUCGGCGCGUAAAGCCCUAUCGGCAGGGAAGAAGGAGGACGGUACCUGACUAAGAAGCCCCGGCUAACUACGUGCCAGCAGCCGCGGUAAUACGGAGGAUCCGAGCGUUAUCCGGAUUUAUUGGGUUUAAAGGGUGCGUAGGCGGACGCUUAAGUCAGCGGUAAAAUGGCGGGGCUCAACCUCGGCGAGCCGUUGAAACUGGGUGCCUUGAGUGGGCGAGAAGUACGCGGAAUGCGUGGUGUAGCGGUGAAAUGCAUAGAUAUCACGCAGAACUCCGAUUGCGAAGGCAGCGUACCGGCGCCCAACUGACGCUGAAGCACGAAGGCGUGGGUAUCGAACAGGAUUAGAUACCCUGGUAA
rnacentral:rRNA from 1 species